AGUCGAGCGGUAACAGAGAGGUGCUUGCACCUUUGCUGACGAGCGGCGGACGGGUGAGUAAUGCUUGGGAACAUGCCUUGAGGUGGGGGACAACAGUUGGAAACGACUGCUAAUACCGCAUAAUGUCUACGGACCAAAGGGGGCUUCGGCUCUCGCCUUUAGAUUGGCCCAAGUGGGAUUAGCUAGUUGGUGAGGUAAUGGCUCACCAAGGCAACGAUCCCUAGCUGGUUUGAGAGGAUGAUCAGCCACACUGGGACUGAGACACGGCCCAGACUCCUACGGGAGGCAGCAGUGGGGAAUAUUGCACAAUGGGCGCAAGCCUGAUGCAGCCAUGCCGCGUGUGUGAAGAAGGCCUUCGGGUUGUAAAGCACUUUCAGUCAGGAGGAAAGGUUAGUAGUUAAUACCUGCUAGCUGUGACGUUACUGACAGAAGAAGCACCGGCUAACUCCGUGCCAGCAGCCGCGGUAAUACGGAGGGUGCGAGCGUUAAUCGGAAUUACUGGGCGUAAAGCGUACGCAGGCGGUUUGUUAAGCGAGAUGUGAAAGCCCCGGGCUCAACCUGGGAACUGCAUUUCGAACUGGCAAACUAGAGUGUGAUAGAGGGUGGUAGAAUUUCAGGGUGUA
rnacentral:rRNA from 1 species